AGGCGUUUCAGCCGCAAUUGGCCCAAUCCUUCGAUCCCCGACCCGCUGCAAGGACUCAAGUCUGUGGAAUGGACUAGACCACCAACGUCCCAGGGGACGGGGGAAGAGACAGAAGUCACCUCUUGAUUUAGCGAUAACAAACAUGAAACAGAGAAAUUAAAUUACUAACUCACAGAGGCGGUAAGUGGUGGAUGCACACAGCCUAACUCUGAGACCUGAGUUCUUCAUCUCUGCACCAUAUGGCUACCCACUGAAUUGCCAGCAUGUUUAUCUCUGGAGUCUGAAUUCCUGACUGAUAUGAUGUCCUGUCUCCAAACAAGGCCUAUUUUGCUGGCCUCUCUCAGAAAUUCUGGAAUACUACUGAAGGCCAUCAAUAAUACAAUUUGUACAUGGCCAUAUACUAAUAUACUGGAAGAGAUGGCAAAGACUUCGGAAUUACUUGUGGGGCCUCAGGGAUACCAUAAUUUAAAACCCUUGAACAAGAAAGAUGUAGCAAGGCUCCCUACAGCUCCAGAUCUUGAAAGAGUUGUCGGAAUUGCAGGGAAUGAUUUCUCCACUGGGAGCAGGAGGAGUAGAGGCAUAAAUGAGAAGAUCCCAACCAAGCUUUUCAACUUUCUUACCAGAAUGCCAGCUUUGCUACAUGUCACCUGUUUAUUGGUCUAUACCCCGAAGAUCAACAUGGAUCACCAACACAAAAUGCUUGUGCAUCAAGUUCUGAACAGAGAUGUCAGCCUUAAAACAGCCAAUUACUCUGCCACACCCCCACCACAGGCUUAAUUAUUUUUGGCAAAAUCCUUUUCUGAUUUACAGUGCCUUCACACUCAAUAAACGUUUUCUGAAUGAAUUAAA